GGGGUUGUGGCUCAGUGGUAGAGUUCUUGCCUAGCAUGCAUGAGGCACUGGGUUCAAUCCCCAGCACCA
rnacentral:tRNA from 1 species